rnacentral:rRNA from 1 species
AUUGAACGCUGGCGGCAGGCCUAACACAUGCAAGUCGAGCGGAUGAAGGGAGCUUGCUCCUGGAUUCAGCGGCGGACGGGUGAGUAAUGCCUAGGAAUCUGCCUGGUAGUGGGGGAUAACGUCCGGAAACGGGCGCUAAUACCGCAUACGUCCUGAGGGAGAAAGUGGGGGAUCUUCGGACCUCACGCUAUCAGAUGAGCCUAGGUCGGAUUAGCUAGUUGGUGGGGUAAAGGCCUACCAAGGCGACGAUCCGUAACUGGUCUGAGAGGAUGAUCAGUCACACUGGAACUGAGACACGGUCCAGACUCCUACGGGAGGCAGCAGUGGGGAAUAUUGGACAAUGGGCGAAAGCCUGAUCCAGCCAUGCCGCGUGUGUGAAGAAGGUCUUCGGAUUGUAAAGCACUUUAAGUUGGGAGGAAGGGCAGUAAGUUAAUACCUUGCUGUUUUGACGUUACCAACAGAAUAAGCACCGACUAACUUCGU